UACGUAGGGUGCGAGCGUUGUCCGGAAUUAUUGGGCGUAAAGAGCUCGUAGGCGGUGUGUCACGUCGGCCGUGAAAACCUGGGGCUUAACUCUGGGCGUGCGGUCGAUACGGGCAUCACUAGAGUUCGGCAGGGGAGACUGGAAUUCCUGGUGUAGCGGUGAAAUGCGCAGAUAUCAGGAGGAACACCGGUGGCGAAGGCAGCUCGCUGGGACGUUACUGACGCUGAGACGCGAAAGCGUGGGGAGCAAACAGG
rnacentral:rRNA from 1 species